rnacentral:rRNA from 1 species
UACGAAGGGGGCUAGCGUUGUUCGGAAUCACUGGGCGUAAAGGGCGCGUAGGCGGCUUUGUAAGUCGGGGGUGAAAGCCUGUGGCUCAACCACAGAAUUGCCUUCGAUACUGCAUGGCUUGAGACCGGAAGAGGUAAGUGGGAACUGCGAGUGUAGAGGUGAAAUUCGUAGAUAUUCGCAAGAACACCAGUGGCGAAGGCGGCUUACUGGUCCGGUUCUGACGCUGAGG